UGCGAGUGAUCACUCUCGCAAGGAUCACAUCACUCAUGAGUGGGUGCUGUCGUUGUAGAGCUGGGGUGUGAAUCGCUGCAUUUUAUGAGAGAAAUGGCGGACAAAUACGGGAGAAAAUUCAGCACAACGGCCGCCACGCGCAAGGUCCUAGAGGCGUGACCAAAUAAGAGGCGAAUCCCAACUCAAGCAGCUGCCAGCUUUAAAGGCAUGAUGCUAGGGCAGUAUGUAUUCAUUAAUACAGCUAAGUAACAAAAAAUUAGAUACUAGUUACAAAUAAAAACUUGUUUUAAAAAAAAUGAACCAGGCUAAUAAAAUAAACUAAAAGUAGUCAAAGACUUUGAAAA